AUUGAUGACCAUGAUUUCAACACAAAAUUGCGUAACGCUCGUAAGUUCUUGGAAAAAGGCGAUAAAGUAAAAGUAUCUAUUCGUUUCCGAGGUCGAGCUAUCACUCAUAAAGAAAUUGGACGGGACGUACUGGAACGUAUGGCGGAAGAAACAUCUGAUGUUUCACAAGUUGAAUCUAAAGCUAAAAUGGAUGGCCGCAGCAUGUUCUUGAUGCUCGCACCGACAAGUGAGAAAUAAUAAGUAAAAGAAUCAAAAAAUGAUUCUGCUUAAAAUCAUAGAUAAGAGUAUUGGAGGAAAAAAUUAUGCCUAAGCAAAAAACGCAUAGA
rnacentral:misc_RNA from 1 species